CAGUCGAGCGAGCUUGCCUAGAUGAUUUUAGUGCUUGCACUAAAUGAAACUAGAUACAAGCGAGCGGCGGACGGGUGAGUAACACGUGGGUAACCUGCCCAAGAGACUGGGAUAACACCUGGAAACAGAUGCUAAUACCGGAUAACAACACUAGACGCAUGUCUAGAGUUUGAAAGAUGGUUCUGCUAUCACUCUUGGAUGGACCUGCGGUGCAUUAGCUAGUUGGUAAGGUAACGGCUUACCAAGGCAAUGAUGCAUAGCCGAGUUGAGAGACUGAUCGGCCACAUUGGGACUGAGACACGGCCCAAACUCCUACGGGAGGCAGCAGUAGGGAAUCUUCCACAAUGGACGAAAGUCUGAUGGAGCAACGCCGCGUGAGUGAAGAAGGGUUUCGGCUCGUAAAGCUCUGUUGGUAGUGAAGAAAGAUAGAGGUAGUAACUGGCCUUUAUUUGACGGUAAUUACUUAGAAAGUCACGGCUAACUACGUGCCAGCAGCCGCGGUAAUACGUAGGUGGCAAGCGUUGUCCGGAUUUAUUGGGCGUAAAGCGAGUGCAGGCGGUUCAAUAAGUCUGAUGUGAAAGCCUUCGGCUCAACCGGAGAAUUGCAUCAGAAACUGUUGAACUUGAGUGCAGAAGAGGAGAGUGGAACUCCAUGUGUAGCGGUGGAAUGCGUAGAUAUAUGGAAGAACACCAGUGGCGAAGGCGGCUCUCUGGUCUGCAACUGACGCUGAGGCUCGAAAGCAUGGGUAGCGAA
rnacentral:rRNA from 1 species